AUGGUGGCCGGACGAGCUAGUCGCGGCGGCAGCCGACAGAACUCGCGGCGCCGCCGCCGCGGAGAAUGCGAUUUCAAUUUUUUUUGCGAUGUGAGGGUUUUCCGGCGAGAGGAAGGUUCUGAUUUCUGGCGAGACAUGAUAUGGAAAAUAUGGAGAGGCAAACGUGUCAAAGCUUGGAGUUUGGCACGGCGGGUUAAACUCAAGGAUGGUCAAGAACCGUCGACAAAUCGAAAGUAA